rnacentral:tRNA from 1 species
GUUUUUAUAGUUUAAAUCUAAAACAUUGGUCUUGUAAAUCAAUAAUAAAUAUUAAUUUUAAAAACU